rnacentral:rRNA from 1 species
UACGAAGGGGGCUAGCGUUGUUCGGAAUUACUGGGCGUAAAGCGUGCGCAGGCGGUUUUUCAAGUCAGAGGUGAAAGCCCCGGGCUCAACCCGGGAAUGGCCUUUGAGACUGGAUGGCUAGAGUGUGAGAGAGGUGAGUGGAAUUCCCAGUGUAGAGGUGAAAUUCGUAGAUAUUCGGAAGAACACCAGUGGCGAAGGCGGCUCACUGGACCGGCAUUGACGCUGAUGUGCGAAAGCGUGGGGAGCAAACAGG